rnacentral:rRNA from 1 species
CCCUCUGGGUGCAGCAGGCGCAAAACCAGCAGUCAAUGCAGGCAGCGCUUGAGCAGCAGGAGCGUGUCAAGUCUCAGAUCCAGAUGGUGCUCAUGCAGGCUCUCGAACCCAAUGCACGGGAACGCCUCAAUACCAUCAAGCUGACCAAGCCGGAAUUUGCCGGUGCCGUGGAACAGCAGCUUGUGCAGCUCGCCCAGAGCGGGCGUCUCAAGCAGAAAAUUACGGAUGCACAGCUCAAAGAACUGCUCCGGCAGAUUGCGCCGGCCAAGCGGGAUUACUCAAUCACACGCAAGUGAUGAAAGCAGGAGUGCUUUACAGCGGCGGGAAGGACAGUUCCCUUGCAGCAAUAAUGCUGGGUACGUAUUAUGAGGUUGAACUCAACACGUUUGUGUUUGACCCGGCCCGCUUAAUCCCCACAAUUGAAUUGGCGGGAGAGC